rnacentral:snRNA from 1 species
CCUUUGGAUUCCUACAGAUUCAAAAAAAAGGUCUACCAAGAUGGAAUGAAACAGAGAAGAUUAGCAUGGCCCCUGCACAAGGAUGACAUGCAAAUUCAUGAAGCAUUCCAUAUUUUU